CUCCUCUCAGAAGUGCUCCUAGAGAGUUUCCAGUAUUCUACCAGUCUCAGCUAUGGGAGGGAGAGUCAAGCAGAGGCAUUCCCAUUCCAAUCCAAGCUUGGCCAGUGGCUAGUGAGUGGAAGGCAAUCUGCUACAAGU